rnacentral:rRNA from 1 species
GGCUUGAUAAGUCAGAUGUGAAAGCCCCGGGCUUAACCUGGGAACGGCAUCUGAUACUGUUAGGCUAGAGUAGGUGAGAGGAAGGUAGAAUUCCAAGUGUAGCGGUGAAAUGCGUAGAGAUCUGGAGGAAUACCGAUGGCGAAGGCAGCCUUCUGGCAUCAUACUGACACUGAGGUUCGAAAGCGUGGGUAGCAAACAGGAUUAGAUACCCUGGUAGUCCACGCCGUAAACGAUGUCUACUAGUCGUUGGGUCCCUUGAGGACUUAGUGACGCAGCUAACGCAAUAAGUAGACCGCCUGGGGAGUACGGCCGCAAGGUUAAAACUCAAAUGAAUUGACGGGGGCCCGCACAAGCGGUGGAGCAUGUGGUUUAAUUCGAUGCAACGCGAAGAACCUUACCUGGUCUUGACAUAUCUAGAAUCCUGCAGAGAUGCGGGAGUGCCUUCGGGAAUUAGAAUACAGGUGCUGCAUGGCUGUCGUCAGCUCGUGUCGUGAGAUGUUGGGUUAAGUCCCGCAACGAGCGCAACCCUUGUCCUUAGUUACCAGCGGUUUGGCCGGGAACUCUAAGGAUACUGCCGGUGACAAACUGGAGGAAGGCGGGGACGACGUCAAGUCAUCAUGGCCCUUACGACCAGGGCUACACACGUGCUACAAUGGUAGGUACAGAGGGCAGCUACACAGCGAUGUGAUGCGAAUCUCAAAAAGCCUAUCGUAGUCCAGAUUGGAGUCUGCAACUCGACUCCAUGAAGUAGGA